CUUACAAUUAGCUCUCUUAACAGCUUGAUUGGAGAGGAGAAGGCUGCCAGUGACCACAGGGGUGCAGCCUGUCCCCUGCAUGGUCCCCACGAUGCAUCAGGAGCUGGGAGCAUCUAGGGGCAAAAUAAGAAAUGAGGCCAGGACUGAGCUUUUCGUUUGCCAAUUUUGACCUGCAAAGCCUGGGGCUGCUUCCCCCUAGCACAGGGGAAGGACAGCCUGAAGGACUGUGGGGACAUGCAUCACGUCAGGUUUCCUUGGGUCCAGGGAGCAGCUCGGCUGACCGGCAGAUGAGGUUGUGGCCACCCCGCUGCUGGCUAACUGCAGCUACUUCUGCCAGCCAGUGGACUAGAGAUGGAGCAAGCAUGGAAUGAGGGCAUCUUCCUGGAGACAGGUAGGCACUGUGGAAUCAGCAGUGCGUAGAACAGUGAGGAAUUAGGGCUGAACCCAGCCCAGGUGGGACAAGCCCUGGCACCAGCCGACUGCAGUCUGAUGGAACUUCCCCUUCCUGCCCAGCAGAUGGCGAGCGUGUGCUGCUGGUGCCUCUUUCCAAAGGAUGUUGAAUUGUUUGACAGCCCUGCCCAGCAUCUAGAAGACCACCUGAAGCUUUCACAUUAUGAGACCUUAGAUCCUGCGAGGGUUUGAAUUUCAAAAGCCUCAAUUAAAGCACACAGUGUUCUUUACUUUAUGAAUGAAACCAGAGCAGCCCACCUUCCUGCAUCUCUACCACCAUGGCACCAUGCCCUGUGAAGGGUGAGCUGGAGUCAAAUACGUAGCAGGCAGCCAGGGUCAGUUUGUGGCCACUGCUGCCUCCUCUUCCUAUGGUCUCCUCACUGAGUGCCCCUUCCCUGUUGGGUUCAACAUGUCUAUGCUCCUGUAAGCCCUCAGCCUCCUCGUUCUCUUCCUCAACUUCUACCACCAGACACACCUGAGAGGCAAGCAAGAGAGGCUAAACUAGGAGCAGGACCCAGGGACUGAAACCAGCACAGCAUCCCCACAGAGAAUUGGGUGGAAGGCAGCAUGGCUUCCAGCUUACUGGUGCCGAGCAGAUUCCCCUGGGUCUCCAUUGUAUCCUCUGAAGGAAGGAGGAGGAUUGCCUUCUGUCCAGAUCUCAGGAUCAAACAAAUAGGUCCAACUUCCUGUGCUCACUUCAGUUAGAGCACUUCUCAUGUGACUUUGUAGCUUUGUGUGCAUCUCCUUCCUCUACUAGACCUAAGCCCCUCACUGGAAGGACUCUCUUAUUCUUGAUGUUCCCCACAUCUGGAAUUUCAAUAAACAUCUCAA
rnacentral:sRNA from 1 species